AUCCAAGAUCCAUGUUUGGCCUGUGUGAAUCAUUUGCAUUUAAUGGCUAUGAACUCUGCAGAGAAUAGCCCGCUUAGGUCUAGGGGAAGGUCCACGAUUGAAAAAUGCAAGGUUGUUUCCGAAAGGGAAAAGGAAAUUAUUUCUUUAGAAAUUCUGUGCAACUUGACAAGGAGGUUUAUCUUUAAGCUGUCAUGCCUGACACGACUGCUAUUGACUGCAGCAGCUCUGUCACCCGGUGAGAUGGGGAAAACAAAAUCUAUGAGCCACUGAUCAUCCUGCCAAGGGUCUUUAAGAAACAACAACAUUGUUAGUCAUCUUCCAGCCAGAACAAAUAAUAUGCCUAGUUUUUGCCUGCCAUCGGCUGCUGCAGACUUUAUUGUGUAUCCAAAAGCGGGUGGGAAGCAAUCAACUCUGACCCAUGCCAAGCAGAGACUGCCAACAUUUUGUGGCCCAUGGAAGUGGAUGCCAUCACAGCUGUUGUGCACACAAAUAUUAUUUAUGGGAUGUCACAGAGAGGAAGAGGGGCCCAGUUAAAUAACCCACCAUUUUCUGAAUCAGUGGGGCAUUUUUCGAUCAUUUCGCCUUCAGUCUGUGUUAGAAUCAAAGCCUACAGGGUUGACCUCCUUUUCCAUGGACCCCUUUUAGCUACUGUUUUCCCCCAAAAGCUACAGAUGUUGGGAGGCUUAGAGGUAAACAAUUGGAUUUCAAUGAGGGCCUGGAACCUCGGAAGCUGCCUUAUACUGAGUUAGACCAUUGCUCUGUCUAUCUCAGUAUUGUCUACACUGGUUCUCCAGGGUUUAUUUGUUUAUUUUAUAUCUCACCUUUCUCCCAGUGCAGGGCCCAAAGUAACUCAUCCUCAGAGGUGGAUUUAGGGCAGUGUGAGUGGUACAGUCACAUUGGGUGCACAUCCAAGAAGGGCACCUUCUCAAAGCCUAGUAAGCACUUGUCUGGCUUCAGGAAGGAGCCAUGAGGGCUUUCACAGGGACCUGGAGUUCCUCCUUCUCUUUCCCAAAGCUGGGCAAUUGUUUACUGGGCUUUAGGAAGGAGGUAGGAGGGCUCUAGGACCCUGCCAGAGCCUCAUGCCUCCUUCCAAAGCCUGGCUUAAGCUGGCACCACAAGGGCUGUGGCCUCACACAGGGUGGUAUAUUACCAAAGUCCUCUCCUUUUCAUUCUCACAGAGCUACAAUGUCCAGUGUGGUCUUACAAUCAAUUUCUCUUCCCAGGAAACUGGGAAAUGUAGCUCAGGGUGUGGGGAUAGGGGUUUCCCAACAACUCUCAGCACCCUUAACAAAGUACUGUGCCCAAGAUCCUUUGGGAGAAGCCAUGACUGUUUAAGGUGGCAUGAAACUGCUUUAAAUGUAUAGAGUGUACAGGGCCCAAGUCUUUGCAGCAUCAAAUGCCUUUGCCCAUUCUGGCAGCCUAGAGAAUGUCCAGGGAUCAAGCAAACUUAAUUUCAAAGUACCAUGCUUUCCAAAAAGGCCAAAAACAGCAAUACAAAACUCUCCAUCUACAUACUAUUUCUUGGUGGUGUAGUAGGCAGCAUGAUCAGCUUCCUAAGUUUUUUCUAUUUAUCAUGUUCUUUCCAUGUUGGCUCAGUAUGCCCGUUUUGCUUUACAAAUGUUCUGUCUGUGUGGUAUACACCACCAAUGUUCAACCAAUGCCUGAACUUCUCUUUAACCUAAGCCUAAUUCUUCCAAUUGACUCAUUAAAACGUGCCUCCAUUCAUUCUCAUGCCAGAAUUUCUGUGAUCCUAAACCAAAUUAUCCAUGUUCCCCUGACCCACAACAUACAACAGCUGUUACAAUCUUCCAAUACCACAGAAUCAUUGAAUUGUAGAGUUGGAAGGGACCCCGAGAGUCAUCUAGUCCAACCGCCUGCAGUGCAGGGAUCUCAGCUAAAGCAUCCAUGGCAGAUGGCCAUCCAACCUCUGCUUAAAAACCUCCAAGGAAGGAGAGUCCACCACCUCCCAAGGGAGACCGCUUUCUCCAAACGGAUGGCCUACAGAUGUUGCUGAACUCCAACUUCCAUCAGCACCAGCCAAUAUGGCCAUCAUGAUGGGAACUGGAGUCCUGUUAAAUUCUGAAGGGCACCCUGUUGAGGAAGACUGCUUUUAAUACACCCAUUUUCUAAUCUCAAUCUCUGGCCACAGAGGGAACUAAAGUCAAGUCGUUCUUACAUCCAAACCCAAUAUGUUUGCCAUUGUCGUUCCCUUCUGUGGCAUGACAGCUAUCAAGGAAUUGCCACUACGUCUUGCAAGUGCAUUUUUGCUGCUCCUGUAUUCUGAUUGGAAUUGGUUCUGGGAGCCAGCUAAUUUAGCACCGGCAGAUUUCUACAGCGAUAGGAGGCUAAUCAGCAUCCGCAACUCCAAUCACAUUGGAAACCAUAUCUCAUACUCCCUUGAUGGCCCCGCUAACAUUGGCUCUCUCUCUGCCUCUUUUUUUUUCUAAUAUAUGAUGCUUAGAUAAUGCUGAGAAGGCUGGGCACUCAAGUGGACUAAUACAUGGCUGAAAGCCAGCAGCCUCCAAAGCAUCUUCUCUCAGUUAUCUGCUCAGUAAUUAGAUGACCUUGAACAAAUUAUGGACUUCUUUCCUAGUUCAGUUUCAGUAUCUCUUUUAAAACACAAUUUGGGCAAAGAUGCCUCAUGAAAACUAAACCCAAGGGCAGAAAUGUACAUGAGACUAGAGAACAUCUAUCUCUCUAUAUUUCAAGGGUGAGGAAACUUUUUCAGACGAAGGGCCAGAUUCUCUUCUGGACAGUGGAAGCUGGUAGCCCCUAGACCUGGUAGGGCAGCUCAUGGAGAUAGGGCCAAUAAUGUUACUGUCAUGGACUGGUUGGAUGCAGAGGAAUGGUGGUAGGAACCAGCUGGGAACCACCAAGGGAAGAAGGCUCAAAGCCCAGGGAGUGGUGGUGGGACAACCAUGGGGGGUCAGAGGGAGAAGUCUGGGGAUAGGAGGUGUUGGAAGCUGAAGAGGUAACAGGGCUUAGUGAGCUGGGAGAGUCUGUGGCAGAAAGCAGGGCAGAAUCAGGAGCAGAAGAUGAAGUAGGCAAGUGGGAAGAGGGAGGAGGGAAGAUAGGCCGACUGUAACCAUUGUUCAGUUCUUCUGCAAUGCAGGAAUCUCAGCUAGAGCAUCCAUUACAGAUGGCCAUCCAACCUCUACUUAAAAACCUCCAAGGAAGGAGAGUCCAAAUAUGGAUUAAAAUGCAUGCUUUAAAUUUUUUAAUGGCCCAUUAAUGCAGAAUCUGAAUGGAAUUGGAUUAUAGGUAAAGCCAAGCAGAACUGACACUUCUGACACUUUCCUCCAUCCCUACUUAUGACCUCCAUGUGCAGGUCACUUGAAACAGCCCUCAUUAUGCUAGAACAAAUCUGUCCUGUCUUAAAAAUAAGAUACUUAUUACUGUAGGUUAAACAGAAUGAGGAAUACGUGUCUGAAUUUGUGUCCAUGUUUAUGUCUAUCUCUGUGUGAGAGCAUGGCAGGGAGGAAUCAAGCUUGCACAUGUUCCAAUAUUUUCUGGAAAGGUGGAUCCUUUUUGCAUGGAGAGUUAAGAGUUUCAAAGCCAGGUUACUAGGGGCAACUAUGGGAUGCAUUUUAAAAAUAAGGAUCAGGAGAAUGAAUUAUUUGCUGGAGCCAGUGUCCUAGGGAGGCAGCUGAUCUGGGUGUGUAGAUGACUGGAUUAAAAGGAAAUGACUUAGGGGUAGUUCACCCAAGCGGUGAAUCCAUUGAACCCUGACACUUAAGGCUGGGAGGUUUCCGAUUCACACGUUGCAUCUUCAAAUUAUGAAAAGCCCAGCUGAAUCAGAAUAUUUAGAAGCAUGGGGCAUCUGACAAUGGAGGUACAAAUCUAGCAUGGUCAGUCGCAAACUGGAGGUCAUUCACUACCAACAAGGUUGGACGUGUUGCCAAAUUAUAUGCGCCUUAAGUAAUUGUGAGUAUCAGCUUGCCAUUCACUCUCUGUAAACAAUAGCUUUAGUUUAUUUGGUGAGAGGCAGUGUUGUGCAGUGGUUAGAGUGGUGGACUAGGACCAAGAAUACCUGGGUUCAAAUUCCCACUCAGUCAUGAAACUCAUGGGGUGACUUUGGGCCAGUCACAUUCUCUCAGCCAGCCUAUCCUUCCUCACAGGGCUGUUGUGAAGAUAAAAAUGGAUAGGAAGAGAACCAUGUAUGCCAACUUGAGCUCCUUGCAGGAAAGAAAGGAUAUUAAUGU